GACGUAGGGGGCCAGCGUUGUUCGGAAUUACUGGGUGUAAAGGGUUCGUAGGCGGUGCGGCAAGUUGGGAGUGAAAUCUCUGGGCUCAACCCAGAGGCUGCUUCCAAAACUGCUGUGCUCGAGUGUGAGAGAGGCGCGUGGAAUUGCAGGUGUAGCGGUGAAAUGCGUAGAUAUCUGCAGGAACACCCGUGGCGAAAGCGGCGCGCUGGAUCACUACUGACGCUGAAGAACGAAAGCUAGGGGAG
rnacentral:rRNA from 1 species